rnacentral:snRNA from 1 species
GUGCUCAUUUGGGCAGCCCAUAUACUAAAAUUGGAACGAUACAGAGAAGAUUAGCAUGGCCCCUGCGC